rnacentral:rRNA from 1 species
UGGGGAAUAUUGGACAAUGGGCGCAAGCCUGAUCCAGCAAUGCCGCGUGAGUGAGGAAGGCCUUAGGGUUGUAAAGCUCUUUCGGCGGGGACGAUGAUGACGGUACCCGCAGAAGAAGCCCCGGCUAACUUCGUGCCAGCAGCCGCGGUAAUACGAAGGGGGCGAGCGUUGUUCGGAUUUACUGGGCGUAAAGGGCGCGCAGGCGGCGGGAUUUGUCAGGCGUGAAAGCCCCGGGCUCAACCUGGGAACGGCGCUUGGGACGGUUCGGCUAGAGAUCGGGAGAGGAGAGUGGAAUUCCCAGUGUAGAGGUGAAAUUCGUAGAUAUUGGGAAGAACACCGGUGGCGAAGGCGGCUCUCUGGACCGAUACUGACGCUGAGGCGCGAAAGCGUGGGGAGCAAACAGGAUUAGAUACCCGCGUAGUCC